rnacentral:rRNA from 1 species
UACAGAGGUCUCAAGCGUUUGUUCGGAUUCAUUGGGCGUAAAGGGUGUGUAGGUGGCGCGCUAAGUCGGGUGUGAAAUUUCGGAGCUUAACUCCGAAACUGCAUUCGAUACUGGCGUGCUUUGAGGACUGGGGAGGAGACUGGAAUUUACGGUGUAGCAGUGAAAUGCGUAGAUAUCGUAAGGAAGACCAGUGGCGAAGGCGGGUCUCUGGACAGUUCCUGACACUGAGACACGAAGGCCAGGGGGAGCAAACGGGG